AUUGAGGGAAUUCAAGUGAAACUGGAAAGAAUUACUUUGCUCAUCCAUUUCUGUGAUCCAUUGAAUUCAAGCGAAAUUGAAUCUCCAUCAUCCAUGGAUAUAUGUCCUCACCUUAAGCAUCAGUUACGUCAAGAAUUCAGUGGAUUCAAGGGACUGAUCAUCCUCUGUUUAUCCAAAACUUCAAGCUAUUUGUGAAAAUUUGGCUGAUUCGUCGAGGCAAGGAAAGAAUUCAGCAAAGGCCCGUUCUGUUUCUGAUCCAAAGGCUGAAAAUUUAAGAUGAGCAGGGGAUGAGAUGACGAAAGUGUUGUUUCGAAAAAUGGAGGAUUUGGGAUGAUGGUAUCCUGGUCGAGCCCUCCUUAUCAAGCAUUUUUCCGUAUUAUCUUUACUUUCUUUAUUUUUUUAUGUAAAAUUUGGGUUUCAUUUGGUAUCAAUUGAGGCAUUUCCAAUUGAGUUUUUGUAUUUUGAUUUCUUGUCCAUUG
rnacentral:lncRNA from 1 species